CUUGAAAAGUAAAGCAAACAAAUGUGUUGAUUUACAUUUCAUCUCCUUUUCCUUAGUCUGUCCAUGUGAAUGUGCUGUGUGGAAGAGUUAAAGGGCCCAACUAAAUGUUCCAGUGAUUCCAAUAGCUAUUUAGCUGGUACCUACUGCUAUAUCACCUAGUGUGACAUUUCGGAAUUAAUGGAACAAUGAAGGAAGCUGUACACUGGAGGUUCCAGGUGGUCAUGGAAGGUUUCCAGUUUAUGCAAACUUCUGUGAAAAUGAGCUUUGUUAUUGGUGAAGACAUUGGAAAUUUUACCAGCCAAAACAGAGUUUCUCUCUUAUUCAGGAUUGUUCAAUUGCUGCUGCUGCCGUUGUGUUUUCUUUCAGGAUCGAGGUGGGUACCUUCAUAUAAUAUCUUCUUUUUAAUUUCUUCUCUGGCAAUUCUUUCCUGGAUUCUUUGCUUUGCAUAAUUAUACCUACAAUGAAACCUUAGAAGAAAAGAAUAUGAAUAAAUUGUUAAUAUAAAGUCCUACAGAAAUUAAUUUAUGAAAUUUCUCUAAAUCACACAAAACUUAAAUACAGAUGACUACUACCCUGAGACUGAAAAAUAUGUUCUAAUUUAUAGUGCUAUUUUUGGGCAGUUUUGGUGUCAGAAUACCUAUCAACACAUUCUUUUUUUAUUAGGAAAAAAAGGAUGUCUACAUAACAAUUUGUAAAGUGAUAAAAUCCAUUAGUUUUUAAGUCUUCUGAUAGCAUUGGCUAUUAUAAGAAACAAGUAUUUGCUCUCGUUUUUAACGGGAUAAUAAUGCUAUGUCUACAUAAAAUGAUUUCUACCACCUUAAAUAGCUCACUGUAGAAAUUCAUGUAUAAAUGGAACCAUAUAGUACAUACAUAUCAUACUCUUAGGUCUGGCAAAUAUUUGAGGUUCAUCCAUAUUUUAUAUUCACUCAUCAGUAGUUGUAAACACAUUCUUAAAGUAGCAUUUUCAGAUAUGAAUAAGCAGGGAUGAAAUAAGUAUUAGGGUAAGGGAAAUGGUUGAGGCUUUCCUAAGUGAAGUGUAAAAACCACAGCUUUCUUUUUAAUGGGAUGUCUAAUAUGCAUUUAUCUGUUCAAGCAUUUUAAGAUUUCCAUGAAAAUGUCCUGAAAAAUCAAGAUUCUUCAUUGAGGGUGAGGAUCUCCCAAUGGGAGACUGCUCUGAAAAGAGCAUGUGCUUUUUGAAUUAGAUAACCUACUAUAAUCAUGGAUGUUCUUGAAUACUUAGCAAACAUACCAGCAUCCCAAAGUCACCAAGAUAAACCCUCCUACUCCAACAUCACAUGAUCUUCUAAUUCUACCUGUAAAAAUAAGCAUAACAAUUAAUUAGAAUAUAAUUACGUUAUAUACAUUACUCCACCUAGAAAAAAAAAUAGUUCAUUAUGUAGAGAAAUGCUUUUUUUAGUACAUAGAGAAAUAAAAAAUACAGAUACUCACUAGUGAACAAAAAAUGUCCAAAGCCAGCCACAACAGAUCCUAAUGAACCAUACAAUAUUGAAUGCCGGGCGCAGGGAGUAUUUUCAACAUCUAAAAAUCCUAGGAGCUUAAGGGACUAGAAUGAAAAAAAAGAACCUAGAUUGAGUAAGAAAGUAUUUCAUUUUGGGGUGCUUUGGCAAAAAUGACAAUACACCAUUUCUUUUCUUGUAGUUGAGGGUUUAAACUAGAGUAUGUGCCACGUGACAACCUAAAUCAGCUUGCGUUGUCUUUGUCCACCUUUGGUAUGCAGUCUGAAUCUUUAAAUCCGAAAACCUUACAAAUUGGACCGGAAAACCCUUAAGCAGUAGGGUAACUUGGAGCUGUAUCUUAAUUUGCUAAUCAACUGACUUGGAAAUAGGAUAAUUCAUUUUAUGAGCUCUUUAAAUGAGUUUAUUUGGGAAUAUGCCUAUCAUUGGAAUUGAAAGCAGCAUAGCUUGCUUCAGUAACUCCAAUAAUUUGGGAAGCAGAAAUGGAAAAAGUAAUUUGAGUCAUGUUUGCUUAUGUAGUGCCGUUUAAAAUUCCCCUAGUAAUUACCUUUCAUAUUUUAUUAACUAGGUUAACAUCAACUGUGGUUGUAAGAGUAAAUGUUUCACCUUAAGAUAAACAUGGGCAAUAUAUUAAACUCUAGUCUGUUUUCUUGCCUGUGAAGUGAGGCUGCACUUGAUUAUAUUUGAUUCUUUGUUCGUAAUACAUGGGAACGACAGCUAAGUGUGGUGAAAAACGCGGGGAUCCAAAGAGCUGGAUUUUUAUCUCAGAUCUGCCGCUAACUUUUGUAUCCUAUAGGCUACUUUUAUUUCUAUGGUCUCAAUCUAUAACAUGAAUGGGUUGGGUUAAAUGACUGAAGUUCCUUCAAGUGCUAAAAUUCUUUUUCUACAGUCUUCAUUGGAUUUAUGUAUUUCUUAUUCCUAAUAUGUUUAACUGGGAUGUCUGUCACUCUAGGGCGGCAAGACAGACAUUUAAAAGUAACAGUCACACUGCUGAACUGGCAUUUCUGUUAACACAAAAGUUUAGAAAACUCACGGUAACUGUUACUUGAUUUAAGUGUAUAUAAAAUUUUCAGUAAGGCUGCUUUUAAAAGGAACCACUGUCCAUUUAAAGGUUUCAUAGUUAUCUUCAAUGGGUUAGUAUUGUUUGGGGCAGGACAUUAAACUAGAAGGGAUUCUAUAGGAUGAGGUGAUACCUAGAAGGUAAUAUAUUGUAAGGCAAAAGAGAUUAGAAGAAAUGGGGAAAGGAUAGUAAAAGGCAAGUCAGAUUAAAGGUUGAAACAUGAAGAUAUUCUCAAUUGUAUUUCUGCCUAUGUUUGCUUUUUUGGCUCAAGCAUCUGUUGGAAGAGACAAAAUGUGACUUGGUUCAUAAUAAAGCAAGAAUUAUUUACUCUCGGAUCAUUCUAUUCCAUUUUUUCCCUCUGUCUGGCCCCGUUCCCACCCGCAUGCCUAACAUAGGAUUGCUUCAAAGCUUUGCAGUACAGUUCUUCACAUUACCAAGAGGUUGGGGGAUUUCAUUUAGCAAGACGACUUUUUCCUAUCAGCUUGAGAGCCCAGGGGACAUAUGAUCAUGUGGGUAGUGUUAUGCAGGUGAGGAAUGCUGGACUUAGCGCUCCAGUCCAGGACUACCUCUAAACUAGACUAUUUCCCCAAGGAUGGGAUGCUGGGGCCAGAGGAUUAGUACCAGUUUGAUCUAGUCUUAGGUGCAAAGAUGCAAGUGUGAGACCAGCUUGUACCACAGGAUAGAAUUAAGUAUUUUCUAGUCCCACUCUCAGAUUCUGAUUUACAAUCAC
rnacentral:lncRNA from 10 species